rnacentral:rRNA from 1 species
AGUGGCAGACGGAUGAGUAACAUGUAGGUAUCUACCCUUUGGCCUGGAAUAACACGAGGAAACUUGUGCUAAUACCGGAUAAGUCUUUACGGAGAAAGCUUUAUGCACCAUUGGAUGAGCCUGCGCUUGAUUAGUUUGUUGGUGGGGUAAUGGCCUACCAAGACUGUGAUCAAUAGCUGAUUUGAGAGGAUGAUCAGCCACAUUGGGACUGAGACACGGCCCAAACUCCUACGGGAGGCAGCAGUGGGGAAUCUUGCACAAUGGAGGAAACUCUGAUGCAGCGAUGCCGCGUGAGUGAAGAAGGCCCUUGGGUUGUAAAGCUCUUUCGUCGGGGAAGAAAAUGACUGUACCCGAAUAAGAAGGUCCGGCUAACUUCGUGCCAGCAGCCGCGGUAAUACGAAGGGACCUAGCGUAGUUCGGAAUUACUGGGCUUAAAGAGUUCGUAGGUGGUUGAAAAAGUUAGUGGUGAAAUCCCAGAGCUUAACUCUGGAACUGCCAUUAAAACUUUUCAGCUAGAGUAUGAUAGAGGAAAGCAGAAUUUCUAGUGUAGAGGUGAAAUUCGUAGAUAUUAGAAAGAAUACCAAUUGCGAAGGCAGCUUUCUGGAUCAUUACUAACACUGAGGAACGAAAGCAUGGGUAGCGAAGAGGAUUAGAUACCCUCGUAGUCCAUGCCGUAAACGAUGUGUGUUAGACGUUGGAAAUUUAUUUUCAGUGUCGCAGCGAAAGCGAUAAACACACCGCCUGGGGAGUAC